GUCUGGUUUUGAGGCAACGGGCAUUGUUGAUUGGAAUCCACUGGCUAUACCGGUUUCUGCUUUUGCCACUGCCUCAGCAUUUGACAAUCCAGACAUUGAGUUGGACGAGUCUGAGAAAGAAUUGCCCGGUGACAACCAUCAAUUGUUAUGGGUUGUCCGUAAAGUCAAGUCUGUUGCUACAUCUGAACCUGUUGUUUCACAAACUGCUACUACUUUUUCUACUGCUACUGCUUUUAUUUCAC
rnacentral:lncRNA from 1 species